rnacentral:rRNA from 1 species
CCUACGGGGGGCAGCAGUGAGGAAUAUUGGUCAAUGGACGCAAGUCUGAACCAGCCAUGCCGCGUGCAGGAAGACGGCUCUAUGAGUUGUAAACUGCUUUUGUACGAGGGUAAACGCAGAUACGCGUAUCUGUCUGAAAGUAUCGUACGAAUAAGGAUCGGCUAACUCCGUGCCAGCAGCCGCGGUAAUACGGAGGAUUCAAGCGUUAUCCGGAUUUAUUGGGUGUAAAGGGUGCGUAGGCGGUCGGAUAAGUUAGAGGUGAAAGCCCGAGGCUCAACUUCGGAAUUGCGUCUGAUACUGUUCGGCUAGAGAGUAGUUGCGGUAGGCGGAAUUUAUGGUGUAGCGGUGAAAUGCUUAGAGAUCAUGCAGAACACCGAUUGCGAAGGCAGCUUACCGGGCUACUUCUGACGUUGAGGCACGAAAGCGUGGGGAGCAAACAGGAUUAGAUACCCGAGUAGUC